UAGAUACCCUGGUAGUCCACGCCGUAAACGGUGGGUACUAGGUGUGGGUUUCCUUCCUUGGGAUCCGUGCCGUAGCUAACGCAUUAAGUACCCCGCCUGGGGAGUACGGUCGCAAGACUAAAACUCAAAGGAAUUGACGGGGGCCCGCACAAGCGGCGGAGCAUGUGGAUUAAUUCGAUGCAACGCGAAGAACCUUACCUGGGUUUGACAUGCACAGGACGUACCUAGAGAUAGGUAUUCCCUUGUGGCC
rnacentral:rRNA from 1 species